rnacentral:rRNA from 1 species
GACGAACGCUGGCGGCGUGCUUAACACAUGCAAGUCGAACGGAAAGGCGCUGAUCUUGUUGGGUGCUCGAGUGGCGAACGGGUGAGUAACACGUGAGUAACCUGCCCUUGACUUUGGGAUAACUUCAGGAAACUGGGGAUAAUACCGGAUAGGAGAUCCUGCUGCAUGGUGGGGGUUGGAAAGUUUCGGCGGUUGGGGAUGGACUGGCGGGUUACCAGCUUGUUGGGGAGGUAGGGGCUUUCCAAGGCUUGGACGGGUAGGCGGCCUGAGAGGGUGACCGGCCACAUUGGGACUACGAGACGGCCCAGACUCCUAUGGGAGGCAGCAGUGGGAAAUAUUGCGCAAUGGCGGGGAGCCUGAUGCGGCAGCGCCGCGUGCGGGAUGACGGCCUUUGGGUUGUGAACCGCUUUCGCCUGUGACGAAGCGUGAGUGACGGUAAUUGGUCAAGAAGCACCGGCUAACUACGUG